rnacentral:rRNA from 1 species
GGGGGGGGGACAUUUGCUUAAUCGUUGGUGACCAGCGGAGGGAUCAUUACCGAGUGUAAAAACUCCCAAACCAUUGUGAACCUACCACUGUUGCUUCGGCGGCCUCGCCCCGGGCGCGUUCGCGCGGCCCGGACCCAGGCGUCCGCCGGAGGCUCCAAACUCUUGUCUUUUAGUGUAUUUCUGAGUGGCAUAAGCAAAUAAAUCAAAACUUUCAGCAACGGAUCUCUUGGUUCUGGCAUCGAUGAAGAACGCAGCAAAAUGCGAUAAGUAAUGUGAAUUGCAGAAUUCAGUGAAUCAUCGAAUCUUUGAACGCACAUUGCGCCCGCCAGUAUUCUGGCGGGCAUGCCUGUCUGAGCGUCAUUUCAACCCUCAGGACCCGUUCGCGGGACCUGGCGUUGGGGAUCAGCCUGCCCCUGGCGGCGGCUGGCCCUGAAAUCCAGUGGCGGUUCCCUCGCGAACUCCUCCGUGCAGUAAUUAAACCUCUCGCGGCAGGAUAGCGGUUGAACCACGCCGUUAAACCCCCCACUUCUCAAGGUUGACCUCAGAUCAGGUAGCAACACCCGCUGAACUUAUUCAUAUCAAUAAGGGGGAAGAAUU